UACGUAGGGUGCGAGCGUUGUCCGGAAUUAUUGGGCGUAAAGAGCUUGUAGGCGGUUUGUCGCGUCUGCUGUGAAAAUCCGGGGCUCAACCCCGGGCCUGCAGUCGAUACGGGCAGACUAGAGUGCGGUAGGGGAGACUGGAAUUCCUGGUGUAGCGGUGAAAUGCGCAGAUAUCAGGAGGAACACCGGUGGCGAAGGCGGGUCUCUGGGCCGUAACUGACGCUGAGGAGCGAAAGCGUGGGGAGCGAACAGG
rnacentral:rRNA from 1 species